CACAGUGUAGCAAUACAUGGGUGGCGACCGGCAAACGGGUGCGGAACACGUACGCAACCUUCCUUCAGGCGGGGAAUAGCCCAGAGAAAUUUGGAUUAAUACCCCAUAAUAUUUUGAGAUGGCAUCAUCUUAUUAUUAAAGCUACGGCACCUGGAGAUGGGCGUGCGGCUGAUUAGGUAGUUGGCGGGGUAAUGGCCCACCAAGCCUACGAUCAGUAGCUGAUGUGAGAGCAUGAUCAGCCACACGGGCACUGAGACACGGGCCCGACUCCUACGGGAGGCAGCAGUAAGGAAUAUUGGUCAAUGGACGCAAGUCUGAACCAGCCAUGCCGCGUGGAGGAUGAAGGUCCUCUGGAUUGUAAACUUCUUUUAUCUGGGACGAAAAAAGGGUUUUCUAACUCGUCUGACGGUACCAGAUGAAUAAGCACCGGCUAACUCCGUGCCAGCAGCCGCGGUAAUACGGAGGGUGCAAGCGUUAUCCGGAUUCACUGGGUUUAAAGGGUGCGCAGGCGGGCAUUUAAGUCAGUGGUGAAAUACCUGAGCUUAACUUGGGAACUGCCAUUGAUACUAUUUGUCUUGAAUGCCGUGGAGGUUAGCGGAAUAUGUCAUGUAGCGGUGAAAUGCUUAGAUAUGACAUAGAACACCUAUUGCGAAGGCAGCUAACUACGCGAAUAUUGACGCUGAGGCACGAAAGCGUGGGGAUCAAACAGGAUUAGAUACCCUGGUAGUCCACGCCCUAAACGAUGAUUACUCGACAUUAGCGAUACACUGUUAGUGUCUGAGCG
rnacentral:rRNA from 1 species